rnacentral:lncRNA from 1 species
UCCUCAUGGAUAUUAGUCAGAUUCUUAACUUGCUGAGCCACAAUGGGAACUCCCUCUGGGAUCUCAUUUUUUUUUUUAAGACAGCUUUACUCAGCAUCAUGAUCAGACUAUUACAUUUAGCAAUCAAUAGCCUGGGUGCAAAAAAAAAAAAAAAACCUACAUUAAAACCCUUUAUUGGAAUGCUUUAUGCUUUCCACAGAAAAGAAACUAAAAUAACCUGUUACACAAUUAGUCACAAAUACAGUCCUCAAGGCUUUUUUGCCCAUACACAUGAGUACUGUCUAAAACAUGUCUUUGCAGCAGCUACGCCCUGCCACCACAGCACUUGGCUGAAUUCACAAAUCUGUUGUAACCUGUAGCUUCCCUGUCACUUCUCUGGCUCUCCUCUCCUGCUAAGCUUUGUUUCCUGGCAGUAAUAAUUAAAACCUUCUGCCACUACCAUAGCUGCUGCUGCUGCUGGAACGUCAUAGCCACCUUGGUUUUGUGGUUUGGCAAAGAAUUGGACUCCACCACCAUAGGGGCCAUAACUCCUGCCUCCAAAAUGUCCUCCUUCAUGGGUCCAAAAUUUGAAGACUGAUUGUUGUAAUUGCCAAAAUCACUGUAGCUUCUGCCACCUCCAAAAUUGCUUCCAUCAUUACCAAAUCCAUGAUACCCAUCCCCACUGCCACCAUAUCCACCACCACCACAACUCCCACCAAAACCACCUCAACCACUCAAGUUUCCCCCUGACCAAAGUUGUCAUUUCCACCAAAACCACCUCCAUGGCCACCACCAAAGUUUCCAGAACCACUUCGACCUCUUUGGCCGGAUGAAGCACUAGCCAGCUCUUGCUUGGAUAGGGCUUUCCUUACUUCACAGUUGUGGCCCUUCACCGUGGUAUUUCUGAAUGACAAUCUUGUCUACAGAGUCAUGGUCAUCAAAGGUUAGAAAAGCAAAACCUCUCUUUUUGCCCCUGCCUCUGUCAGUCAUGAUUCCAUCACUUUGGUUUUCCCACACGGUUCAAAAUCACCUCUUAGGUGAUGUUCUUCAGUGUCUUCUUUAAUGCCACCGACAAAAAUCUUUUUCACAGUUCAGUGGGCACCAGGUCGUUGAGAAUCUUCUCUGGAGACGCCCUCUUUGGUUCCACAACUCUUCCAUCCACCUUGUGUGGCCUUGCAUUCAUGGCUGCAUCCACCUCCCCCACAGUGGCAUACGUGACAAACCCGAAGCCUCUGGAGCGCUUGGUGUUUGGGCCCCUCAUCACCACAUGGUCUGUGAGCGUUCCCCAUGGCUCAGAAUGGCUCCUCAAUCCCUCAUCGGUUGUUUCAAAGCUCGAACCUCCGAUGAAAAGCUUCCAAGUUCAGGCUCCUUGGGAGACUCUGACUUCGACACGACAGUAGGUGGGAGGAGGAUAUAUCGAUGCUUACUUGGCAGCGUCCAGGGGCAUGGAUCUCUUUUCUAAGGACACCAAUCCCAUUUAUGAGGGUUCCAUUCUCAUGACCUAAUCAUCUCUCAAAGGCCCUACCUGUUAAUGCCAUCACAUUGAGGGUUAGAAUUUCAACAUAUGAAUUUGAGUAGGACACAAAUAUUCUAUGCAUAACAUUAUGUUUUCGUUAAAUGUUUGGUAAUAUUAGAUAGGAAAAUUAGGCAAUAAAAUGAAUGGAUUUAUAGGGGGAUAACUCUAGUGCUCUAAAAUGUGGAAAACCUUUAUAUAAAUUUGAAAUUAAUAUAAUUCUUUUUAUUUAUUCUAAGCACAAAGAAGCUACAGAAUAUAUACAAGUGCUGGUAAGUCCUUAUUUACAAAUAUGCUAUGACUCUUUUUUGUUGUUGUUGUUGUUUUUCUUUUUAGGGCAGUGCCCGGGACAUAUGGAGAUUCCCAGGCUAGGAGUCCAAUCGGAGCUGUAGCCACUGGCCUACGCCAGAGCCACAGCAACGCGGGAUCCGAGCCGAGUCUGCAACCUACAUGACGGCUCAUGGCAACGCCAGAUCCUUAACCCACUGAGCAAUGCCAGGGAUCGAACCCACGUCCUCAUGGAUGCUAGUCAGGUUUGUUAACCACUGAGCCACAGCAGGAACUCUUAUGACCAUUUCUUUGAAGACAAAACCAGUUGGAGGGAAUGAACUACCUGCAAGUCCUUGGUACCUAUAGGCAAAGUAAACCAAAGUAAUUUUUUAACUUAAAAAUAAUAUUUAUGGAGAAGAGAAAAGGCAAAUACCAAAGCAAUUUACAAACAGGCAUCAUAUAUAUUUGUUAAAGGUCAGAAUACUAGGAGUCAAAGAAAGAGCAGACUGGCAGAGUAUAGUCUCUGAUAGAAGAAUGAGACCUGUUUAGAAAAGACAGAACCCAGCCUCCAGGAACCUUGGGGCCUUGAAAUCUCUAGGAAAACACACAGGAGUCAAGAGUUGGCUAAAAGACUCUCAGGUUUUUGUUGUUGUUGUUUGGCUUUUUAGGGCUUCACUCACGGCAUAUUUCCAUAUUUCCCAGGCUAGGGGUCAAAUCAGAGCUACAGCUGAUGGCCUACGCCAUAGCCACAGCAAUGCAGGAUCCAAGCUGCAUCUGUGAACUACACCACAGCUCACGUCAACGCUGGAUCCUUAACCCACUGAAUGAGGCCAGGGAUUGAACCCACAUCCUCACAGAUCCUAGUCAGGUUCGUUAACCGCUGAGCCACAAAGGGAACUCCAAGACUCUCAGGUAUUGAUCACAUACCAAAAUCAUGCCAUCAGAAUGUGUGCAGAGAGGAAACUUCCCUAAAGACCGUCUAAGAUUCAAUAUCAUAAGAUGCUCCUCAACUUCUCCUCAUAGUCAUGGGAACACACAUACUGAAGUGAAAGCAAUGUUCCUUUUGAUGCUUGUUGUGUCUAGAGGCCUUGUCUCUCUGAUGGUUCCAUGGUUUACAACAACCCCCACUAAGACUGAGACUCCACACUUGGGUGAGCUGUGCUAUGCAUGAAAAUAAUAGAAUAAGAAGCUUUUCAUGUACCAGGCAGCGUAUGUUUCUCCUAUAUACAGCCAUGGCUUGCAGGGCACUGGAAUUUUCAACCAUCUUAAAAAAGCAGGAAAACCCUAGACAAAGGUGGGAACAUUUAAGGAAUAUCUGCUACAGCAGACACUGGGAGAAAGAAUGGAUUAAAAAGUUUUCUGCGGUUGCAGC